CCUACGGGAGGCAGCAGCAAGGAAUUUUGGGCAAUGGGCGAAAGCCUGACCCAGCAACACCGCGUGGGGGAUGACGGCCUUCGGGUUGUAAACCCCUUUUACUAGGGAAGAAUAAAAUGACGGUACCUAGUGAAUAAGCCCCGGCUAACUACGUGCCAGCAGCCGCGGUAAUCCAGCAGCCGCGGUAAUCCAGCAGCCGCGGUAAU
rnacentral:rRNA from 1 species